CCCACCAAGGAGCAGGAGGACUCCCACAGGACAACCCUGGGGUGCUGCUCCUUGAUCCUGAUCUGCAUAUUUCCUUGAUGCAUGCCUGUAUUCCACUUCUUCCUGGGAGUCAUUCAAGGUCCAAAGUGACAAGACUAGUGUCCCUGGACCAAAACCUCUCAAAUGAAACCCACAGCCUUCAAAAUAAGAACAUGGUGAUCUACCUGACCAAGGUCAACUACCUUUUUCCUUUAGGAUUUCUCAGACUGCUCCCCCCUUUCCCUGAAUAUGAAAAUAAUUGUUUAACUUAGAGAAAAUGAUUACAAAGCAAACUUUUAUCCCCCAAAACAUUAUAUUCAACUUCAUCUUAGGAAGUUGAUCUUCGU